rnacentral:rRNA from 1 species
UACGUAGGGGGCUAGCGUUGUCCGGAUUUAUUGGGCGUAAAGAGCGUGUAGGCGGCCAGAUAGGUCUGCUGUGAAAACUCGAGGCUCAACCUCGAGCUGUCGGCGGAAACCAUCCGGCUAGAGUCCGGAAGAGGAGAGUGGAAUUCCCGGUGUAGCGGUGAAAUGCGCAGAUAUCGGGAAGAACACCUGUGGCGAAGGCGGCUUCCUGGACCGACACUGACGCUGAGGCGCGAAAGCUAGGGGAGCAAACGGG